rnacentral:misc_RNA from 1 species
UCUUUCUUACGAAAGCAGUUUCGCCUGACAAAUAUAACAGACGAUGGGGGUUGCGCUCGUUAAUCCACUUAAGGAUACCAUUCGCAUGACGAGCUGACGACAGCCGUGCAGCACCUGUCCAGCACCCUCGAAGGCUUCUCCGUUUCUGGAGCGUGCAGCUGGAUUUCAAGCCCUGGUGAGGUUCCUCGCUUAGAGUCGAAUUGAACCACAUGAUCCACCGCUUGUGCGAAUUCCCGCCUAUUCCUUUGAGUUUUAAUCUUGCGAUCGUACUUCCCAGGCGACUGACUUAACGCGUUAGCUACGCCACUGGAAGGGUCGAUGCUCCCAAUAGCUAGUCAGCAUAGUUUAGGGCGUGGACUA